rnacentral:rRNA from 1 species
UACAGAGGUCCCGAGCGUUGUUCGGAAUUACUGGGCGUAAAGGGCUCGUAGGCGGCCAACUAAGUCAGACGUGAAAUCCCUCGGCUUAACCGGGGAACUGCGUCUGAUACUGGAUGGCUUGAAUCCGGGAGAGGGAUGCGGAAUUCCAGGUGUAGCGGUGAAAUGCGUAGAUAUCUGGAGGAACACCGGUGGCGAAGGCGGCAUCCUGGACCAAUAUUGACGCUGAGGAGCGAAAGCCAGGGGAGCAAACGGG